rnacentral:rRNA from 1 species
ACUCCUACGGGAGGCAGCAGUGGGGAAUAUUGCACAAUGGGGGAAACCCUGAUGCAGCCAUGCCGCGUGUGUGAAGAAGGCCUUCGGGUUGUAAAGCACUUUCAGUAGGGAGGAAGGUAGUGUAGUUAACACCUGCAUUAUUUGACGUUACCUACAGAAGAAGCACCGGCUAACUCCGUGCCAGCAGCCGCGGUAAUACGGAGGGUGCGAGCGUUAAUCGGAAUUACUGGGCGUAAAGCGCAUGCAGGCGGCCUGUUAAGUCAGAUGUGAAAGCCCGAGGGCUUAACCUCGGAAUUGCAUUUGAAACUGGCAGGCUAGAGUCUUGUAGAGGGGUUAG